CGUCAAAAAAUGUCAUAGUAUACUAAGGCGUCAAAAAAUGUCAUGGUAUAGCAAGGCGUCAAAAACCAUCAAAAAUGUCAUAGUAUACUAAGGCGUCAGAAAUUAUCAAAAACUGUCAUAGUAUUGUAAUGUGUCAAAAACCAUCAAAAAUAUAGUAUAGCAAGGCAUCAAAAAGAUCAGAUCAGAUAUGUCAUAGUAUACUAAGGCAUCAAAAAUGGUCAAAAAAUGUCACAGUAAAGUAAGGUGUCAAAAACCAUCAAAAAUGUCACAGUAAAGUAAGGUGUCAGAAAUCAGCAAAAAAUGUCCCAGUAAAGUAAGGUGUCAAAAAUGGUCAAAAAAUGUCAUAGUAUAGUAAUGUGUCAAAACCCAUCAAAAAAUAUAGUACAGCAAGGCAUCAAAAAUGUCAUAGUAUACUAAGGAGUAAAAAAUGGUCAAAAAAUGUCACAGUAAAGUAAGGCGUCAGAAAUGAUCAAAAAUGUCAUAAUAUACUAAUGCGUCAAAAAUGGUCAAAAAAUGUCAUGGUAUAGCAAGGCAUCAAAAACCAUCAAAAAUGUCAUAGUAUACUAAGGUGUCAGAAAUGAUCAAAAACUGUCAUGGUGUAGUAAGGCAUGAAAAAUGGUCCAAAAAUGCUAUAGUAUAGAAAGGUGUCAAAAACCAUCAAAAAUGUCAUAGUAUACUAAGGCGUCAAAAAAUGUCAUAGUAUACUAAGGCGUCAAAAAAUGUCAUGGUAUAGCAAGGCGUCAAAAACCAUCAAAAAUGUCAUAGUAUACUAAGGCGUCAGAAAUUAUCAAAAACUGUCAUAGUAUUGUAAUGUGUCAAAAACCAUCAAAAAUAUAGUAUAGCAAGGCAUCAAAAAGAUCAGAUCAGAUAUGUCAUAGUAUACUAAGGCAUCAAAAAUGGUCAAAAAAUGUCACAGUAAAGUAAGGUGUCAAAAACCAUCAAAAAUGUCACAGUAAAGUAAGGUGUCAGAAAUCAGCAAAAAAUGUCCCAGUAAAGUAAGGUGUCAAAAAUGGUCAAAAAAUGUCAUAGUAUAGUAAUGUGUCAAAACCCAUCAAAAAAUAUAGUACAGCAAGGCAUCAAAAAUGUCAUAGUAUACUAAGGAGUAAAAAAUGGUCAAAAAAUGUCACAGUAAAGUAAGGCGUCAGAAAUGAUCAAAAAUGUCAUAAUAUACUAAUGCGUCAAAAAUGGUCAAAAAAUGUCAUGGUAUAGCAAGGCAUCAAAAACCAUCAAAAAUGUCAUAGUAUACUAAGGUGUCAGAAAUGAUCAAAAACUGUCAUGGUGUAGUAAGGCAUGAAAAAUGGUCCAAAAAUGCUAUAGUAUAGAAAGGUGUCAAAAACCAUCAAAAAUGUCAUAGUAUACUAAGGCGUCAAAAAAUGUCAUAGUAUACUAAGGCGUCAAAAAAUGUCAUGGUAUAGCAAGGCGUCAAAAACCAUCAAAAAUGUCAUAGUAUACUAAGGCGUCAGAAAUUAUCAAAAACUGUCAUAGUAUUGUAAUGUGUCAAAAACCAUCAAAAAUAUAGUAUAGCAAGGCAUCAAAAAGAUCAGAUCAGAUAUGUCAUAGUAUACUAAGGCAUCAAAAAUGGUCAAAAAAUGUCACAGUAAAGUAAGGUGUCAAAAACCAUCAAAAAUGUCACAGUAAAGUAAGGUGUCAGAAAUCAGCAAAAAAUGUCCCAGUAAAGUAAGGUGUCAAAAAUGGUCAAAAAAUGUCAUAGUAUAGUAAUGUGUCAAAACCCAUCAAAAAAUAUAGUACAGCAAGGCAUCAAAAAUGUCAUAGUAUACUAAGGAGUAAAAAAUGGUCAAAAAAUGUCACAGUAAAGUAAGGCGUCAGAAAUGAUCAAAAAUGUCAUAAUAUACUAAUGCGUCAAAAAUGGUCAAAAAAUGUCAUGGUAUAGCAAGGCAUCAAAAACCAUCAAAAAUGUCAUAGUAUACUAAGGUGUCAGAAAUGAUCAAAAACUGUCAUGGUGUAGUAAGGCAUGAAAAAUGGUCCAAAAAUGCUAUAGUAUAGAAAGGUGUCAAAAACCAUCAAAAAUGUUAUAGUAUACUAAGGCGUCAAAAAAUGUCAUAGUAUACUAAGGCGUCAAAAAAUGUCAUGGUAUAGCAAGGCGUCAAAAACCAUCAAAAAUGUCAUAGUAUACUAAGGCGUCAGAAAUUAUCAAAAACUGUCAUAGUAUUGUAAUGUGUCAAAAACCAUCAAAAAUAUAGUAUAGCAAGGCAUCAAAAAGAUCAGAUCAGAUAUGUCAUAGUAUACUAAGGCAUCAAAAAUGGUCAAAAAAUGUCACAGUAAAGUAAGGUGUCAAAAACCAUCAAAAAUGUCACAGUAAAGUAAGGUGUCAGAAAUCAGCAAAAAAUGUCCCAGUAAAGUAAGGUGUCAAAAAUGGUCAAAAAAUGUCAUAGUAUAGUAAUGUGUCAAAACCCAUCAAAAAAUAUAGUACAGCAAGGCAUCAAAAAUGUCAUAGUAUACUAAGGAGUAAAAAAUGGUCAAAAAAUGUCACAGUAAAGUAAGGCGUCAGAAAUGAUCAAAAAUGUCAUAAUAUACUAAUGCGUCAAAAAUGGUCAAAAAAUGUCAUGGUAUAGCAAGGCAUCAAAAACCAUCAAAAAUGUCAUAGUAUACUAAGGUGUCAGAAAUGAUCAAAAACUGUCAUGGUGUAGUAAGGCAUGAAAAAUGGUCCAAAAAUGCUAUAGUAUAGAAAGGUGUCAAAAACCAUCAAAAAUGUUAUAGUAUACUAAGGCGUCAAAAAAUGUCAUAGUAUACUAAGGCGUCAAAAAAUGUCAUGGUAUAGCAAGGCGUCAAAAACCAUCAAAAAUGUCAUAGUAUACUAAGGCGUCAGAAAUUAUCAAAAACUGUCAUAGUAUUGUAAUGUGUCAAAAACCAUCAAAAAUAUAGUAUAGCAAGGCAUCAAAAAGAUCAGAUCAGAUAUGUCAUAGUAUACUAAGGCAUCAAAAAUGGUCAAAAAAUGUCACAGUAAAGUAAGGUGUCAAAAACCAUCAAAAAUGUCACAGUAAAGUAAGGUGUCAGAAAUCAGCAAAAAAUGUCCCAGUAAAGUAAGGUGUCAAAAAUGGUCAAAAAAUGUCAUAGUAUAGUAAUGUGUCAAAACCCAUCAAAAAAUAUAGUACAGCAAGGCAUCAAAAAUGUCAUAGUAUACUAAGGAGUAAAAAAUGGUCAAAAAAUGUCACAGUAAAGUAAGGCGUCAGAAAUGAUCAAAAAUGUCAUAAUAUACUAAUGCGUCAAAAAUGGUCAAAAAAUGUCAUGGUAUAGCAAGGCAUCAAAAACCAUCAAAAAUGUCAUAGUAUACUAAGGUGUCAGAAAUGAUCAAAAACUGUCAUGGUGUAGUAAGGCAUGAAAAAUGGUCCAAAAAUGCUAUAGUAUAGAAAGGUGUCAAAAACCAUCAAAAAUGUCAUAGUAUACUAAGGCGUCAAAAAAUGUCAUAGUAUACUAAGGCGUCAAAAAAUGUCAUAGUAUACUAAGGCGUCAAAAAAUGUCAUGGUAUAGCAAGGCGUCAAAAACCAUCAAAAAUGUCAUAGUAUACUAAGGCGUCAGAAAUUAUCAAAAACUGUCAUAGUAUUGUAAUGUGUCAAAAACCAUCAAAAAUAUAGUAUAGCAAGGCAUCAAAAAGAUCAGAUCAGAUAUGUCAUAGUAUACUAAGGCAUCAAAAAUGGUCAAAAAAUGUCACAGUAAAGUAAGGUGUCAAAAACCAUCAAAAAUGUCACAGUAAAGUAAGGUGUCAGAAAUCAGCAAAAAAUGUCCCAGUAAAGUAAGGUGUCAAAAAUGGUCAAAAAAUGUCAUAGUAUAGUAAUGUGUCAAAACCCAUCAAAAAAUAUAGUACAGCAAGGCAUCAAAAAUGUCAUAGUAUACUAAGGAGUAAAAAAUGGUCAAAAAAUGUCACAGUAAAGUAAGGCGUCAGAAAUGAUCAAAAAUGUCAUAAUAUACUAAUGCGUCAAAAAUGGUCAAAAAAUGUCAUGGUAUAGCAAGGCAUCAAAAACCAUCAAAAAUGUCAUAGUAUACUAAGGUGUCAGCAAUCAUCAAGAAAUGUCACAGUAAGGUGUCAAAAAUGGUCAAAAAAUGUCAUGGUAUAGCAAGGCAUAAAAAAUGGUCAGAAAAUGUCAUAGUAAUGUGUCAGAAACCAUCAAAAAAUAUAGUAUAGCAAGGCAUCAAAAACUAUCAAAAAUGUCAUAGUAUAUAAGGCGUAAAAAAUUGUCAAAAAAUGUCACAGUAAAGUAAGGCGUCAGAAAUCAUAAAAAAAUGUCAGUAAAGUAAGGCGUCAGAAAUGAUCAAAAACUGUCAUAGUAUUGUAAGGUGUCAAAAAUGGUCAAAAAUUGUCAUGGUAUAGUAAGGCAUGAAAAAUGGUCCAAAAAUGUUAUAGUAUAGAAAGGUGUCAAAAACCAUCAAAAAUGUCAUAAUAUACUAAUGCGACAAAAAUGGUCAAAAAAUGUCAUGGUAUAGCAAGGCAUCAAAAACCAUCAAAAAUGUCAUAGUAUACUAAGGUGUCAGAAAUGAUCAAAAACUGUCAUGGUGUAGUAAGGCAUGAAAAAUGGUCCAAAAAUGUUAUAGUAUAGAAAGGUGUCAAAAACCAUCAAAAAUGUCAUAGUAUACUAAGGCGUCAAAAAAUGUCAUAGUAUACUAAGGCGUCAAAAACCAUCAAAAAUGUCAUAGUAUACUAAGGCGUCAGAAAUUAUCAAAAACUGUCAUAGUAUUGUAAGGUGUCAAAAACCAUCAAAAAUAUAGUAUAGCAAGGCAUCAAAAAGAUCAGAUCAGAUAUGUCAUAGUAUACUAAGGCAUCAAAAAUGGUCAAAAAAUGUCACAGUAAAGUAAGGUGUCAAAAACCAUCAAAAAUGUCACAGUAAAGUAAGGUGUCAGAAAUCAGCAAAAAAUGUCCCAGUAAAGUAAGGUGUCAAAAAUGGUCAAAAAAUGUCAUAGUAUAGUAAUGUGUCAAAACCCAUCAAAAAAUAUAGUACAGCAAGGCAUCAAAAAUGUCAUAGUAUACUAAGGAGUAAAAAAUGGUCAAAAAAUGUCACAGUAAAGUAAGGCGUCAGAAAUGAUCAAAAAUGUCAUAAUAUACUAAUGCGUCAAAAAUGGUCAAAAAAUGUCAUGGUAUAGCAAGGCAUCAAAAACCAUCAAAAAUGUCAUAGUAUACUAAGGUGUCAGCAAUCAUCAAGAAAUGUCACAGUAAGGUGUCAAAAAUGGUCAAAAAAUGUCAUGGUAUAGCAAGGCAUAAAAAAUGGUCAGAAAAUGUCAUAGUAAUGUGUCAGAAACCAUCAAAAAAUAUAGUAUAGCAAGGCUUCAAAAACUAUCAAAAAUGUCAUAGUAUAUAAGGCGUAAAAAUUGUCAAAAAAUGUCACAGUAAAGUAAGGCGUCAGAAAUCAUCAAAAAAUGUCAGUAAAGUAAGGCGUCAGAAAUCAUAAAAAAAUGUCACAGUAAAGUAAGGCGUCAGAAAUGAUCAAAAACUGUCAUAGUAUUGUAAGGUGUCAAAAAUGGUCAAAAAUUGUCAUGGUAUAGUAAGGCAUGAAAAAUGGUCCAAAAAUGUUAUAGUAUAGAAAGGUGUCAAAAACCAUCAAAAAUGUCAUAAUAUACUAAUGCGACAAAAAUGGUCAAAAAAUGUCAUGGUAUAGCAAGGCAUCAAAAACCAUCAAAAAUGUCAUAGUAUACUAAGGUGUCAGAAAUGAUCAAAAACUGUCAUGGUGUAGUAAGGCAUGAAAAAUGGUCCAAAAAUGUUAUAGUAUAGAAAGGUGUCAAAAACCAUCAAAAAUGUCAUAGUAUACUAAGGCGUCAAAAAAUGUCAUAGUAUACUAAGGCGUCAAAAACCAUCAAAAAUGUCAUAGUAUACUAAGGCGUCAGAAAUUAUCAAAAACUGUCAUAGUAUUGUAAGGUGUCAAAAACCAUCAAAAAUAUAGUAUAGCAAGGCAUCAAAAAGAUCAGAUCAGAUAUGUCAUAGUAUACUAAGGCAUCAAAAAUGGUCAAAAAAUGUCACAGUAAAGUAAGGUGUCAAAACCCAUCAAAAAAUAUAGUACAGCAAGGCAUCAAAAAUGUCAUAGUAUACUAAGGAGUAAAAAAUGGUCAAAAAAUGUCACAGUAAAGUAAGGCGUCAGAAAUGAUCAAAAAUGUCAUAAUAUACUAAUGCGUCAAAAAUGGUCAAAAAAUGUCACAGUAAAGUAAGGCAUCAAAAACCAUCAAAAAUGUCAUAGUAUACUAAGGUGUCAGCAAUCAUCAAGAAAUGUCACAGUAAGGUGUCAAAAAUGGUCCAAAAAUGUCACAGUAAAGUAAGGCAUCAGAAAUCAGCAAAAAAUGUCACAGUAAAGUAAGGUGUCAAAAAUGGUCAAAAACUGUCAUAGUAAAGUAAGGCGUCAGAAAUCAGCAAAAAAUUUCACAGUAAAGUGUCAAAAAUGGUCAAAAAAUGUCAUAGUAUAGUAAUGUGUCAAAACCCAUCAAAAAUGUCAUAGUAUACUAAGGCGUAAAUAAUUGUCAAAAAAUGUCACAGUAUAGCAAGGCAAGAAUGGUCAAAAAAUGUCAUAGCAUAGUACGGCAUGAAAAAUGGUUUAAAAAAAAAGGUCAUAGAAAGGUCAGAAAUCAAAAAAUGUCACGUAAAGUAAGGUGUCAAAAAUGGUCAAAAAAUGUCAGUAUAGAAAGGUGUCAAAAACCAUAAAAAAUGUCAUAGUAUACUAAGGCGUCAGAAAUAAUCAAAAACUGUCAUAGUAUUGUAAGGUGUCAAAACCCAUCAAAAAAUAUAGUAUAGCAAGGCAUCAAAAAAUUGUCAAAAAAUGUCACAGUAAAGUAAGGUGUCAGAAAUCAGCAAAAAAUUUCACAGUAAAGUAAGGUGUCAAAAAUGGUCAAAAAAUGUCAUGGUAUAGCAGGGCAUAAAAAAUGGUCAGAAAAUGUCAGUGUACUAAGGUGUCAGAAAUGAUCAAAAAAUGUCAUAGUAUAGAAAGGCGUCAAAAACCAUAAAAAAUGUCAUAGUAUACUAAGGCGUCAGAAAUCAUCAAAAAAUGUCACAGUAAAGUAAGGCAUCAGAAAUCAUCAAAAAAUUUCACAGUAAAGUUAAGGUGUCAAAAAUGGUCAAAAUAUGUCACAGUAUAGCAAGGAAUGAAUAAUGGUUAAAAAUUGUCAUAGUACAAUAAGGCGGUUAACUAAAGUAGUUAAAUGUUCUUUAAGAUGUUCUUUAGGAAGAAAUGUAUUAUUAAUUUGAUUUAGCAUAAUACUUGAGCUUUGUUGUUGUGUAUGUUUACAGUCAGGUUACUGAUUAAUCCUGGCUUGUUCACACUAGUUGCAUGCACUAGAUAACCUCUAGUUGCAUGCACUAGAUAACCUCUAGUGCAUGCAACUAGAGAACCUCCCUCUUUAACCUGCCACCUUCUUGCCUGCCUCCUUUGUUAACCUAAUCCAUAUGCCAUGAACUAUUUUAAAGUAGUCAUCUUACCUUUGUUUUCUACAGACAUGUAUAUUUUCACACCACCUUUUUGUGUUUAUCAUUUCAUUUUGGUAUUUUGCUGUUUCAAACUGUAAUAUCAGUACUCAAAUUCUCUCAAGUCUGUUAGUAUGUAAAUAGUCUUGUACAUACUGUUAUUAUGUUACUGUUACAUAUUGCUUUUGCUAUAUUGUCAUAUAUUAUCUUGUUUUACAUAUUGAUGUGUGUGAUGUGUGUUUAUAGCAUGCCUUUUUCUGU